GGCCCGGUAGCGCAGAGGCCGUCGCACCGCCUGCACAGCGGGGGACGCGGGUUCGAAUCCCGCUCGGGUCC
rnacentral:tRNA from 1 species